GAAACGGCUGUCAAAAAUACGUCAUCAAGGUCACAGGCAUUACUAUCCGAGGGAAGAUGAAUCGAUUCAACGAAGUGCGCUUGCGCCCCACCAAAGUUUUAAACCACUGACGCCGAAAUGGCGGAUCAGCAGCCAAGCGCUCACACCUCGUCUCAGGAAACUUCUGUUGGGGAGGAUUCAAUGUCUGUUGAGGCACAUGUGAAUGUGCUACAAAGUGAAACACAUCCAGACACAUGGACUGUCAAAGACCACAUGACAGGAACAUUCUCCUGGAGACGCUGAGAAAGCACGGAAGGAAUGUCUGAGGAGGAUGUACUCAAAAAAUACACAUACUUCAGGACACCUACUGGAGGGGACCCGUCUACACCUUUCCUACCAUACACCUGAUGGAUACUGACUGUAAAAUGGCAAUCACAGGAGGAGGGCUCAGUGUGGUGACAGAGACUUGUUAUAGCUCUUAUAUGUCAUUGCUCUUUUUGUUUUUUGAUUGCUUCAACUCUGUCCUCAUUUGUAAGUCGAUUUGAACAAAAGCAUCUACUAAAUGAAUAAAUGUAAAUAUUAGUAUAACCUGUGGUAUAGAUGAGUGCCAGUCAACUUUUUUCUGAUUCCAUUCUGUUAGAAACCAUGCACAGGAAGCAUAUGUAGUACUUUUGUUACUCAGUGAAUAGUCAGUAGUACAGUUGUAUUAUAAUAUAAUGGAGAAGGGUCUGGCUGCAGACUCACUCUCAGACACUUGCGCUUCUAUUUUUUAUUGGAUAUUUUAUUCUACUUAUUGGUUACUUCUUGUUUGAAUCUCUCAACAUUUGUUUUUCUCUUAGAUCUAUCUAUCUAUCUAUCUAUCUAUCUAUCUAUCUAUCUUUUUACUUGAAUUGGUGACUGAAACUGAAAGCUAAAUAAAUGGUUUAGUGGAUAAA